GAGACAGUAUUUUGCCCAUAGACCAGAGAGGACUGUGGGAAACUUGGACUUCUCUAUUGAAUUUUCAUGGACAAGGCUUUGUUUGGAGCUGGCAUGUUGUGAAGUUUCAAGGCUAACUUAAGGGAACCGCCAUGGAGGAAAUGGACUUUGAGCGGCGCCGUGAGCUCCGGAGGCAAAAGCGCGAGGAGAUGCGACUGGAAGCGGAGAGGUUGGCUCGCACUGAGGAUGAUGAGGAGGAAGCCGCUCGUGAGAGGAGGCGCCGCGCUCGUCAGGAGAGGAUGAAGAACAGAGAGAACGAAGAGAACAGCAACAACCAGUCUGAGACCUCCAUCCUGACCAACAACCACAGUGUGACAGAGUCUGUGUCUGUGAGCAGCUCUCUGGGGGGAGGAGGAGGAGGAGCAGAUGAAGAAGACCAGGCCCUGAUGGAGCGCAUGGCCAAAAGAGAGGAGAGAAGACUGAGGCGCAUGAAGGAGGCCAUGGAGAGGCAGAAACUGGAGAGCCCCGAUUCCAAUGAUACUAUUACUACCACCACCACCACCACCACUAUGGAGAAAACCAACAACGGAGAAGAGGAGAGGCCUUCGUCGUGGCGUAGGGGGCGCUAUAGAGAAAGUGAGGAAGAGGAGAGCAGAUCCUACAGGAGAGAGGAGAAGGAGGAAGAGGCUGUGCCCAAUGAACCACAGCCAGAAGAAGAAGAAGAAGAAAGAGAGGAGAAACCGCAAAGGUCCUAUUUACGAGAACAGGUGAAUGAGAGAGGAGGAGGAGAGAGAGAGGAAGAGGAGGAGGAGCAGAGGCCAAACGGAGGGAUCCAUGGAGAAGACACUCCGCCCAAACAGCACCGGAAACCUGAGCGGACCCAGAGCCGUGGCAGUGUCCGCUCCCCUGAGGUCCCGGUGGGGCUGGACGAGGAGGAGGACGCCGCUCGCUUGGAGGCGGAGCGUAAACUGGAGGAACUGAAGAGACGGCGUGACGACGCAGAGAGUGAAGAGUUUGAACGCAUGAGGCAGAAGCAGCAGGAGGCAGAGGUCGAGCUGGAGGAGCUGAAGAAGAGGAGGGAGGAGCGGAGGAAGGUGCUGGAGGAAGAGGAGAGGCAGAGGAAGCAAGAGGAGGAGCAGAGAAAGGCGAGAGAGGAGGAGGAGAAGAGGAGGAUGAAGGAGGAGAUAGAGAAGCGAAGAGCGGAGGCGGCGGAGAAAAGACACAAAGUGGACGACACUGUGGACGGAGAGGAGAAACCAUUCAAAUGUGUGAGUCCUCGAGGAUCCUCUCUCAAGAUUGGAGAGAGGGCAGAGUUCCUCAACAAGUCUGCACAGAAAAGUGCAGUGAAGACGUCUCAUUCUCCGGUGGUGUCAAAGAUAGACAACAGGCUGGAGCAGUACACAUCAGCUGCUCAGAGAGAGAAUAAGGAGUCUCGAUCUCCUCGCUCCGGAGCUGUGGACCUGCCCCUCGUCACCGACAUCAAGAACAUCAAGAGCAUGUGGGAAAAGGGCAACGUGUUCAGCUCUCCAGGAGGGGGCAGCACUUUCAAGGAAGCAGCUGUGAUGAAGACAGGCGUGGCGGGCCGCAUCAACGACUGGCUGAAUAAAACCCCCGAGAGCAAAACGGCAGGAGGCAGACCCACGGACCUGAAGCCAGUUGACGUCACCAACAAGAGGAGUCUAUGGGAAAACAAAGCCUCUCCAGCCAAGAACUUGUAGCUAGUUGACAUCAAAUCUGGAAAAAGAGAGAGGAGGCGGGCAGAGGGGAGAGCAAGUCAGUCGCCAAUGGAAUGGGACACUAAUGUCUGAAGGAGCUCCUGGGGACCACGACAAUCCAAGCCUCCUCCUCCUCCUUUGUCUCCAGACCAAAUAUCGACCCCAUCCCAAAGUGGGACCCCCAACACAGAGGGACAGAGCCUGCCCCGGCGCUGUCCAAGCAGCUGCCACCGCAUGUGCCUUUGCACCAUGAGUCAUGUUUUCUAAAAGAAAAAUAAAUGAAUGCUGUGAAAUUUGGACUUUUGUAAGAGAAAUCCUGCCAGGAACAAAACUAAUAAAGUAGUCGUAGUCCUCACUGACAGACUAGUGCAUUAAAGGCUUUAAUGUCUACAUACAAAAAAAAAAAAAAAGAGAGCUCUUCCCUCUGAGACAGUUAAGUUCCAUCUCUGAUUUAUUUAUAUUUAAGCAGAAGCUUCACACGUUGCUUUUAUUCAGUGUUCACCAGUUCAGGUUAGAAAUGUAAGCACUUCUAGAGAUUAGCUGAAUUCACUUUUAUAGUCCAGCCAUGGUCUGAGUAAUAUAUGUUAGCACAUGUGAUGUUUUAUAAAUGUAUCCUUAUAACAUCUUUGUACUCAAAAGUAUUUGCUUUUUAUAUUCAGAAACUAUUGACCAAAAGGCAGUUCUUUUGGGAGGGAUUGGAGCUACGACGAGCAGAAGGCCAAUAUGACUUUAUUAUCUUUGACAACAUUUUAUUUAUGUUUUUAUUGAGUGUCUUUUCUAUUACAAGCAUUUUUGUAGCUUUUGUACUUGUUUGAUCAUCUUCAAACAUUCCUAUUGAAACCAGUGCACACGGUGCCUUUGCUGCUUUAAAUCUGCAGGUUCUUCAGCUCUGUCCACACCAUGUUUAUGCAUCAUUUUAUUUCAUAAUCUGUCAUUUCAGUCGCAUUAUUUCUAUCAACAGCAUAGACUGGCAGUUAUGAUCACUGAUGGGAAAACGCCCUGUACCAGCCUCACGCUACAAGUUCAAGCUCAAAUACACAUUAUACAGUACAAUAUAAGUUCAAAUGUAUUUUAAGUGAUGUUAUAAGAUUGCCUUGAAGAUGCUUGUAUCCAUGGAGGAUUACUUUACCCAUGUUCCACAGUACGGCAUUAAACUGUCUCCUUGGAGACCUGCGGCUGGUGCCACCAGGCCAAGUUACAGGUCAAAUGUGGAGUGAUGCCAUGAGAAAGUUUACACAAGGUAUUUAGCAAUAAAACAAAAAAAUUAUAAAAAAAUGUUUUAAAUAAUUUGUAAUUAAAUAAAUGCAUGAUAGAGUAAUUUAAUACCAUACUGUGGAACAUUCCAGGCAGAUUAAUUAAUUAUUAAAUCGUUUGAUUUAUAUAGCGCUUUCUCAAAGUGCUUUACUGUGCAUUUCUCAUUUACUUACCGGUGGAAUGGAGUGAUGGUUCUGGUGGUGGUAAACUUCUACUGUAGCCACAGUUGCCCUGAGGCAGACUGACAGGAGGCUGCCAGUCUGCGCAAACUACCCCCUGACCACCAUGAAUCACUCACUCAUAUUAGACAAUGUGGGUGAAGUGUCUGCCCUGCUUAGCUGACGAGGGUUUGACACGCCGGUGUGGCCACAUCCCACAGAAACAAGCAGAUGACCACCAGAAAAGUUACACAGUACACCUUUAAAUACAUGUAUGUGUACUUAGUGAGCCUGUAACAUUCCUCUUGCUUCUAUACUCACUUGCUCAGUUGGUUCAAGGUGCUUACAUAAACAUACAGUAAAUCAUUAAACCACAUGAGGAUUCACCACUAUGUUUUUCAUUGGCCUUUAUUGCAGUUGCAACAGUUAAUAGCUCAGCGUUCAGAGAUGUGUUUUUGAUAUUUGUGUUUCACUUCCAGAACAUUCCAAUUUACGUUAUGCACCUCACAUUUUUUUAAUCUGUGAAUAAUUUUCCGGGUAUUAAAAUUUAUUUCUCAACUUUGACAAUCACAUUCCAUUGGCUCCUGAAAGAGCAGGGGGCGGGACCAAAACCUUUAUAGUUAAUUUAAUGUGACUUUGUUUUGUUUUUUUAUUACAGAGGUAUCAUAAUGCCUUUUUUUUUCUUCUUUUUUUUUACAGUCUUGGAAGUUUCUCAUUUAUGUGUAUGUUUAACCAGACACUUGCUGUUUGUGUAGAGCUAAGCCAAUGCAACUGUCACUUUCUGUAUCUUUGUAACCACUCCCAGAGUCUCAGAAUGGGCAAAAACAACUGGAUGACACCUGAAACUUUGUACCAUUGACUCACAAAUAGCAAUAAAGGCAUUGAGGUAAUCCACA